CUGUGCGCAUUUACAAACUGCAAUGUAAGGGACUCUCUCUCACCAACCAACCUCCUCCAGAGCCGCGCGAAAUGCACCGGUUGAUGCAAAGUCUCACGUUAGCCUGAGCGUUAAAAUGCCCUGGUGUUCCCGCUCUGUCAAGACCGUCCUUACAUCUUAAUACCCAGGUAAAAAAAGAUUCCUUUUAGGCCAGCGUUGAAAAAAUCUCUGAAAGGAAACUCAAAAAGGCCAAGAGUGUCAGCGCAC